UUAAGAGUUUUCUAUACUGUGUUUAUUUUCUAGAUGUUAUGUGCCAUUUCUAUAAUGUUUCUUCUAUCUCCAAGAUAUUAGGAAUUUUAAGAUGAUAACUUGUUCUAUAUUGGGUACCAGCCUAGCAUAUUUGGGGCAUGGUUUUAAAUAUCGGCUGAUACAACACUGUUUGUUUCGACUCGUAUUGUUUAGGUCCAAAAUGAUAUGAGUCACCACACCGAUACGAGAGAUAGUCGGGGCCAGUCGUACUGGUUCUGGUUCCCUGUUCAAGACUAAGGGUGGUUCUAAGCUGAAGGAGUAUUGCCUGAAUUUAACAAAGGAAGAUUGCCGGCGUAAGAGUGUUCUGUACACUGCAUGUGAUAAGACGUUGGACAUAGUAUCCAAGAAACCAGAUAAAUUCAGAGUUGUUGCAUUGGCACUUGGCAGCUGGUUCAAAUGUGACUCUCCUUGCCGAUCAGUUCAUCAGGACAAAAUUGACGAAGAGCAGGUAGUAGCGCAACUGCAAUUCCGACAACGGGUGGAGCAGGUG